rnacentral:rRNA from 1 species
GCUGGCGGCAUGCCUACACAUGCAAGUCUCACGGUAGCAGGUCCUUCGGGAUGCUGACUAGUGGCGGACGGGUGCGUAACGCGUGGGAAUCUGCCCAAUAGUGGGGGAUAACCCGGGGAAACCCGGGCUAAUACCGCAUACUCCCUACGGGGGAAAGCGGGGGACCGAAAGGCCUCGCGCUAUUGGAUGAGCCCGCGUCCGAUUAGCUUGUUGGUGGGGUAAAGGCCUACCAAGGCGACGAUCGGUAGCUGGUCUGAGAGGACGACCAGCCACACUGGGACUGAGACACGGCCCAGACUCCUACGGGAGGCAGCAGUGGGGAAUAUUGGACAAUGGGGGAAACCCUGAUCCAGCAAUGCCGCGUGUGUGAAGAAGGCCUGCGGGUUGUAAAGCACUUUCGGCAGGAAAGAAAAGCCAUGCGCUAAUACCGCAUGACCUUGACGUUACCUGCAAAAGAAGCACCGGCUAACUCCGUGCCAGCAGCCGCGGUAAUACGGAGGGUGCAAGCGUUUAUCGGAAUUACUGGGCGUAAAGCGCACGUAGGCGGGCGGCUAAGUCGGGAUGUGAAAUCCCUGGGCUUAACCUGGGGAACUGCAUCCGAUAAGGGUCCCUAGAGUAUGGAAGAGGG